rnacentral:rRNA from 1 species
UACGUAAGGGGCAAGCGUUGUUCGGAAUCAUUGGGCGUAAAGGGCGCGUAGGUGGUUCUGUAUGUCUAUCGUGAAAGCAUACGGCUCAACUGUAUUUUGUCGAUAGAAACUGCAGGACUUGAGGCUGGGAGGGGCUGGUGGAAUUCCCUGUGUAGCGGUGAAAUGCGUAGAGAUGGGGGAGAACACUCGUGGCGAAGGCGGCCAGCUAGACCAGUUCUGACACUGAGGCGCGACAGCGUGGGGAGCAAACAGG